UUUCGCAAUGCCCGAAAGGGUGACGAAGCGACGCCGCGUGUGGGAAGAAGGCCUUCGGGUUGUAAACCACUGUCGGGAGUUAGGAAAUGUAAGGGUGCUAAUAGUAUCCUUACUUGACUAAGGCUCCGGAGGAAGCCACGGCUAACUCUGUGCCAGCAGCCGCGGUAAUACAGAGGCGGCAAGCGUUGUUCGGAAUUAUUGGGCGUAAAGAGCACGUAGGCGGCCUUGUAAGUCAGUUGUGAAAGCCUUCUGCUUAACGGAAGAACAGCAGCUGAUACUGCAAGGCUAGAGUGCGGAAGGGGAGAGUGGAACUUCUGGUGGAGCGGUGAAAUGCGUAGAUAUCAGAAGGAACACCGGCGGCGAAGGCGACUCUCUGGCCCGAAACUGACGCUGAGUGUGCGAAAGCUAGGGGAGCAAACGGGAUUAGAUACCCCGGUAGUCCUAGCCGUAAACGAUGGGCACUAAGUAGAGGGGUUUUA
rnacentral:rRNA from 1 species